CCAUUACCAUUUCUCUUGUCUCUUGCUAAAGGACAGUUCUGCCUUUGCUAAAGGUGCAGUUCUACCUGAGCAGGAAACAAGGCUGGAAAAGCCCAAUAUUCCAAAACAAAAUUAACUGUCUGGGGAGCAGAACCAGACACUCAUGUGGAUUGUCUCUCUCAUCUCCUUCCCCCCACAUCCCCCACCUGGCUGCGUGUUGCUCUGGCCUCUCUCCAGCUGCAGCAGAAAGGAGAUGAAACAAAGGAUUCCCAAACGGGUCUGGACUGCCUGGUCCCUCAUGAUGAGAAGAGUAUUUUGCUUUACAAAGAAUCUUGGGGUCAAGAAACUUUUGGGUAUAAGCAGUUCCUGUAUGCUUUAGAUGAUGGAAGGAAUCCUUUGAUACCAUUUUUUUGGAAUAAAAUUACUUCUCACCUUCAAAAUCCUGAUCAGAUUUUAACUCUGGAAACCUGUAACAUCAUUUCACCUUCAAAUGUCUUAAGAGAAUUGAGAGGAUUGUUUGCAAGAAAAUUUUCCUGCAUGAAGAAUCUGUUUUAAUUCCUCAUGAAACCUUUUGUGAAACGAGUCGAAAUGAAGUUGUGAAAAUAGUUUUCCUGUGUUCUUGACACUGCACGUUUUUGUUCAUGAAUAUAUUUACUGCACUGAAAUACAUUCAAGUUUACCUUGUUGUCGAUAAAAAUGUGAUUAUGAACUACCACACUACAUCAGAGAUGUUUCAGCUGUGGCUGGGACUGUACAGUUGGGCACUGAUUAGACACUCCAGAACACUAAUAGCAUUCUGUCAGUGUAUUGGCUUAAUAUUC